rnacentral:rRNA from 1 species
GACGAACGCUGGCGGCGUGCCUAAUACAUGCAAGUUGAGCGAUGAAGAUUGGUGCUUGCACCAAUUUGAAGAGCAGCGAACGGGUGAGUAACGCGUGGGGAAUCUGCCUUUGAGCGGGGGACAACAUUUGGAAACGAAUGCUAAUACCGCAUAACAACUUUAAACAUAAGUUUUAAGUUUGAAAGAUGCAAUUGCAUCACUCAAAGAUGAUCCCGCGUUGUAUUAGCUAGUUGGUGAGGUAAAGGCUCACCAAGGCGAUGAUACAUAGCCGACCUGAGAGGGUGAUCGGCCACAUUGGGACUGGGACACGGCCCAAACUCCUACGGGAGGCAGCAGUAGGGAAUCGUCGGCAAUGGACGAAAGUCUGACCGAGCAACGCCGCGUGAGUGAAGAAGGUUUUCGGAUCGUAAAACUCUGUUGGUAGAGAAGAACGUUGGUGAGAGUGGAAAGCUCAUCAAGUGACGGUAACUACCCAGAAAGGGACGGCUAACUACGUG